CAGAAUGGGUGGUACUUUUAUUCUUUCAUUAAAAUAACAGCUGACAGACGGCCAGGAACAAACCAGUUAUAACCGUUAAUGGUUAAAGAGCAGCGUUCAGAGUACCUUCAGGAGCAGGUGCCUCGGCAGCGGGAGCGGUUUCCGCCACGGCCGCUUCAGCGGGAGCUUCUGCCGGCGUCGCUUCCGCGGGAGGCGCCUCGGCGGGGGCAGCCUCGGGCACGGGCUCUGCUGGCGGCUCCUCUUUUGGAGCAGCCUUCUUGGCUGACUUUUUGAUAGGUGCUGGUUUGGCUGGCAUGAUGCUUGGGAAAAACUCAACAGGACGGCCGGUCUUUGAAAUGACAGUGUGUUUUGGGACGUUCAAUUUAUACCGCCUCAGAGUUGGCAUCAUCUGAGGUCCUCUGGGGGCUUGGCAUCAUCUCUUCUCAGGUGUUCGCUCAUCUCAGAUCUUCGUAAAGGUUGGAUCCACACUGAGGCUUGUGUAAUUCCUUGGGUUGCCAAUCCCAUGGCAGAGACAGAGAAGCAAAAUAGAGGGGAAAAAAUAGCGUAGCUGCUUUUCAAGCAAAGCAGAGAACAGGCAUUUGAUCAGAUAUAACCGAAGUACAAGAUUAUGAGAUGCAUUACUGUGUGUAAAUGCUUGGCUGAAGAGAUGUGCUUUUAAUCUAGAUUUAAACAGAGUGUCUGAACCCCGACGUUGUCAGGAAGACCAUUCCAGAGUUUAAGAGCCAAAUGCAAAAAAAGCUCUAUACCUCCUUUAGUGGACUUUGUUCUUAUAGGUUCUUCCAGAAGACCAGAGUUUUGUGACCUCAGGUAUUUUAGCAUGAUAGACUAGUUAGGUACUUACUUAGGGCCUUAUAAGUAAGCAGUAAUAUUUUGUAACUGAUACGAGUCUUAAUAGGCAGCCAGUGUAGAGAUUGUAAAAUUGGGGUGAUAUGAUCAUAUUUUCUGAAAAUAAAUUAAUGAAUAAUCAAUACUUAUUUAGAUACUCAAUGUUAAGUUGAGAGGACACUUUAAUAGUGAAUAAUAACAUGAUCUAGUUACUGUGAGGCAGUUAACUUUCCUGGAAAGGUGAUAAGUGUCUAAGUAUCUAGUGUUAAUUUAGCUGAAAACUGCAGUGAAUUGAAUGUGAAUGUAUGUUUUUAAAGGUUUUGCAAAACUGUAGGUAGAAGUAUGUUUUUCCAUUGAGACUAAGUGGCACAUAGUUAAUGACAUAAUGAAAAUAAUAAUAAUAAUAAUAAUAAUAAUAAUGUAAGUAUUUAAAAGUGGUGGACUAAAAAGCUAUUUCAGAUCAUUUUCAGAGAAACUCUGUGAGCUAAUUCAUCAUUAUUUAUUUUUUCUUCAUUUACAGUAAGACAUGGCGCCCUCCACUGGUCGGAAAGCAUAUAAACACAAAUGUGGCUGAUGGUUUUGUAAUACAUCACUCACGCGGUGUUAGAAAUGCCAUACUAUCAUACUACUCUUACUAUUUGUGCAGUAUCCAGUAUGUAUGCUGUGCAUAGUGUGCACAUUUUCUGUAUGCAUGAAAUACCCGGAUGACUGUAUUUACAUGAAUCUGCUAAAUAUAACUCAAUUACACAGAAAUCAGUCCAGAAGCUGUGUUUGGAAUGGCAUACUACCACACAGCUCCUAAUAUAUUGCAGUAUGCUGCGUGUAUACUGUGAAUAGUAAGUGAAUGUUCAGUAUGCAUGGAAUUCCUUGAUUACCUGCUGCAUUUGCUGAAAUCUGAUGUAUGCAUCUGAAGACACUAGAUGGGAUAUUUGUUUCCCAGAAUGCAAUGCGCUCCAUGUAAUGUUUCAUCUUCAAACUUUUGAGUGAACUGGAGGCAGGGAAUAGUCAUUAUAAAUGUAAAACUUUCAUACAUGUUACUGUAAACUACAAACUAUUGCUGUGUAUCUAAAACAAUAUCUUAAGUACAUAAAUUGUACUUUAAUCUCUACAGCAUGUUUCCGAUCAAAUCAAAUGACCUGUAUCUCUAUAGUGCUUUAUACAGUAGGCUACAGAUUAUCUUAAAGGAAUUGAAUAAUAAAAACAUUCAAGCAAUAUAAUAUUGCUUAAAUGUUAUAUAUAUAUAUUUAAUUAAUAUUUCAAUUAUGCAAACAUAAUUCAAUUCUGCUGUAAAGCAGCUCUAAAAAGAAAGGGAGUGAAAGGAUAAAUAGACCAUUGGCCGAGGCUAUUUACUUUAACUUUUGUCCCAAUAAUGUUGCAUUAAUUUAAAAAUAUUUUUAAGAAGGAUAAUUUAAACACACGUUAUUGCAUACUGUUUUAUAAUGUACUACAGUACUGAAAUAUAAAUAUCUACCACCUAACUACUAUUUACACAGUUAUUAUUAGUUCUGUUCAGUAUGUAAAGUCCAUUAAUUAUGAAAUGAGUUCAAUUGGGCAAUAUAGCAUUGUUUACUAGUAUGAAUCCUUAAUUAAUAAGCCUUUGUAAAAAGCAUGGUUAGUACAUUUAUUUGUGAGAUAGCAACCUCAGCAGGUGUGCUGAAUUAAUGUUUUGUCAUGUGACAACUCUAGCGCACUACUGUGAAACCUUUGUUGCUUGUUGUAUACUGUUUGACACACUAUAAAAAAAAAAUAGUAAAAAAAAAAAAAGUUCUUUAUACUGUAAUUAUAUUGUAUGUAUUGAAACCCAUGGGCCAACUUCCCUUCUGGUCAGUCAAUGCAGAAGAACAUGGUCAAAGUUCGCUUUGUAUUUCAUCAGGAACAAAUGACCUCCUCCCCUUCAUUUUUAUUUUCCAUACCUAUUCCUCUUUGUCUGGCAAAGAGAUUUUGACCUGUGUUCCAUCAGUUUUGCUAUACUGAAUGUUCAUACAUGGAUAAAUGUGCACUGUCUGAGUUCAUUUUUUGACACUUGAGUUAAUUAUAUUGUGUGCUUGUGUUUUCUGAACGAGGACAUGCUUAAACCUGGGCAAAAUUAUAUCUUUUUUUUUUUUUUUGUAUAGAGUUUUGCAUAAAACACUGAGCAAAUUGGAGCAUGUGUGCAAACAGGUGAAAUGUGUUAAAUGUUUUUAGAAAUGUGUCUUUGUUUUGGUUUUGUUCAAAUGGUUUGGAAAACUGGGCCAAAUUAAUCAGUGUGUUAGCAAUAGAGAAAAACUGUAAAAUCGCCUCUUAAAGUCUUUUUUAAAAUUUGGCGCCCUCUUUCAUCUAAAAAUGUGCGGUCCAUAUUGCAGUUCGAAAAUUCGUGCAGUAGAGGAAGACAAACCUUAAAAAGAAGAAGAAGAAGAAUGCAUUAGGUGAGAA